UACGUAGGGUGCGAGCGUUGUCCGGAAUUACUGGGCGUAAAGCGCGCGUAGGCGGCUUUGUAAGUUAGAGGUGAAAGCCCGGAGCUCAACUCCGGAACUGCCUUUAAAACUGCAUCGCUUGAAUCCAGGAGAGGUGAGUGGAAUUCCGAGUGUAGAGGUGAAAUUCGUAGAUAUUCGGAAGAACACCAGUGGCGAAGGCGGCUCACUGGACUGGUAUUGACGCUGAGGUGCGAAAGCGUGGGGAGCAAACAGG
rnacentral:rRNA from 1 species